rnacentral:rRNA from 1 species
UACGUAGGGACCAAGCGUUGUUCGGAUUUACUGGGCGUAAAGGGCGCGUAGGCGGCCUUGUCAGUCAGGCGUGAAAGCCCCGGGCUCAACCUGGGAACGGCGCUUGGGACGGCGAGGCUGGAGUUCGGGAGAGGAGAGUGGAAUUCCCAGUGUAGAGGUGAAAUUCGUAGAUAUUGGGAAGAACACCGGUGGCGAAGGCGGCUCUCUGGACCGACACUGACGCUGAGGCGCGAAAGCGUGGGGAGCAAACAGG